rnacentral:rRNA from 1 species
CCUACGGGAGGCAGCAGUGAGGAAUAUUGGUCAAUGGACGAGAGUCUGAACCAGCCAAGUAGCGUGAAGGAUGACUGCCCUAUGGGUUGUAAACUUCUUUUAUAUGGGAAUAAAAUGUUCCACGUGUGGGAUUUUGUAUGUACCAUAUGAAUAAGGAUCGGCUAACUCCGUGCCAGCAGCCGCGGUAAUACGGAGGAUCCGAGCGUUAUCCGGAUUUAUUGGGUUUAAAGGGAGCGUAGGUGGAUUGUUAAGUCAGUUGUGAAAGUUUGCGGCUCAACCGUAAAAUUGCAGUUGAAACUGGCAGUCUUGAGUACAGUAGAGGUGGGCGGAAUACGUGGUGUAGCGGUGAAAUGCUUAGAUAUCACGAAGAACUCCGAUUGCGAAGGCAGUUCACUGGACUGCAACUGACACUGAGGCUCGAAAGUGUGGGUAUCAAACAGGAUUAGAUACCCCAGUAGUC